UACGUAGGUGGCGAGCGUUGUCCGGAUUUAUUGGGCGUAAAGCGCGCGCAGGCGGUCCGUUACGUCCGUUGUGAAAGCUCCCGGCUCAACUGGGAGAGGUCUUCGGAUACGGGCGGACUCGAGGAAGGUAGAGGAAGGUGGAAUUCCCGGUGUGGUGGUGAAAUGCGUAGAGAUCGGGAGGAACACCAGUGGCGAAGGCGGCCUUCUGGGCCUUUCCUGACGCUGAGGCGCGAAAGCGUGGGGAGCGAACCGA
rnacentral:rRNA from 1 species